rnacentral:rRNA from 1 species
CAGCAGCGCGGUAAUACGGAGGAUGCAAGCGUUAUCCGGAAUCAUUGGGCGUAAAGGGUCCUGAGGUGGUUUGCCCAGUCUACUGUGAAAGAUCAGGGCUCAACCCUGAAAAUGCGGUGGAAACUAGCAGGCUAGAAUACGGUAGGGGCAGGGGGAAUUCCCGGUGUAGCGGUGAAAUGCAUAGAUAUCGGGAAGAACACCAAUGGCGAAAGCACCCUGCUGGGCCGAUAUUGACACUGACAGACGAAAGCUAGGGGAGCAAAUGGGAUUAGAUACCCCCGUAGUCCCUGUCUCUUAUACA